GCACGGGUGCGUAACACGUAUGUAACCUACCUUCACCAGUGGGGAUAGCCUCUCGAAAGAGAGAUUAAGACCGCAUAAUAUUAUAGGAUAGCAUUAUUUUAUAAUCAAAUAUUUAUAGGAUCAAGAUGGGCAUGCGGAACAUUACCUAGUUGGUAAGGUAAUGGCUUACCAAGGCUACGAUGUUUAGGGGAUCUGAGAGGAUGGCCCCCCACACUGGUACUGAGACACGGACCAGACUCCUACGGGAGGCAGCAGUAAGGAAUAUUGGUCAAUGGGCGCAAGCCUGAACCAGCCAUGCCGCGUGCAGGAAGACGGCCCUACGGGUUGUAAACUGCUUUUAUACCGGAAUAAACCUUGAUACGUGUAUCGAGCUGAAUGUACGGUAAGAAUAAGGAUCGGCUAACUCCGUGCCAGCAGCCGCGGUAAUACGAAGGAUCCAAGCGUUAUCCGGAUUUAUUGGGUUUAAAGGGUGCGUAGGUGGCCUGUUAAGUCAGGGGUGAAAGACGGUAGCUCAACUAUCGCAGUUGCCCCUUGAUACUGACGGGCUUGAAUGAACUAGAGGUAGGCGGAAUUGUGACAA
rnacentral:rRNA from 1 species